GUAGGUAUGGUGUUAGUGGCAGCACAUGACAUUGCCAAUGUCAAGGGGACAGUUCAAAUCUGUUUAUCUACU
rnacentral:tRNA from 1 species